AUGAAAAAUGCUACCUGCUCUAUCGUGUCCUGGAAUGUUCGCGGGUUAGGAGAUAAUGAUAAGUGUACCAAUGUGUUCUCUGAAAUCAACCUCUUGCGCCCAUCUAUAUCCCUUCUUCAAGAAACCAAAUUACAAAAACCAGAUACGAUCAAAUUACGAUCAAUAUUGACACGCUUCCUUGACUCUAACAACCACCUCGGCGCAAUCGGAACUGCGGGUGGCAUUCUUUCGGCUACUAACUCACGCCGCUUCUCGCUUCUCAAUUGCCAACAUAGGCAUUUCACAUCUACAUUAACGCUAUCAUGUCUUGCAUCGCCACACAACAUCUUCAUCACUAACGUUUACGCCCCCUCGCAAAGAGAUCUAAAGCUAUUUUUCCUCGACGAACUCAAGCAAAUCGAACCACCAACUCAAUCCCCCUGGCUCCUAAUCGAUGACUUUAACCUUACUCGAUUCCCCAAUGAACGCAACAACAACAAUUUCCAACGAUCGGAGGCAGACGCAUUCAAUGACACCAUUGAUCAACUUGCUCUCUUAGAGCUCCCACUCCUUGACAGAGAAUUUACAUGGUCAAAUAAAAGACUAUCUCCCACGCUAAUUCGCCUAGAUAGAGUACUGAUCAACCUAUCUUGGGAUGCUCUUUUCCCCAACUCACACCUCACUUCUCUCACUAGAUUUGUGUCUGAUCACGUUCCACUCCUAGUUACUGUAUCCACGUCCAUCCCAUCUUCCCGCCUUUUUCGAUUUGAACGCUUCUGGACUUCGUUCCCAGCCUGUUCCAACAUAGAGCGUGACUGCUGGCAGCCCAACCCACAACGCCAUAAUGGGCUUCCCGCAGAUCCUGCUGCUUCUCUCGCUCAAAACCUUAAAGGUACAAGAUCGGCCCUAAAAUCUUGGGCCAAAACGCUGUGGCCCAUCUACCAACGGGAAACAAAUUGCAAACUAGUGAAAGUGCGUUAUAUCGACUAG
rnacentral:rRNA from 1 species